CUUAUAAGCGUUGGCGAAGGCGAAGCCCCCUCCAAACACAGUGCCCGACCCCGAGCCCUCAUUCUUGCCCUAGCUACUCUCCGAGCCCCCUCAUUCUCCUCUCCGGCGCUGCCCUAGCUCUCGUCUUCCUCCUCUCCGGCGCUGCUUUAGCCCCAGUCUUCCUCCUCUCCGGCAUGGACCGUCCGACCCCAACCUCUUCUCCUCCUCCCUCCUCUCCGGUGUCGACCGACCAACCCCAACCCUCUCUGCCCGAAAUAUUUUUCUCCUCCUUCCUCCUCUCCCUC
rnacentral:lncRNA from 1 species